rnacentral:rRNA from 1 species
UACGGAGGGUGCAAGCGUUAUCCGGAUUUACUGGGGUUAAAGGGUGCGUAGGCGGGCCUUUAAGUCAGUGGUGAAAUCUCCCCGCUCAACGGGGAAACUGCCAUUGAUACUAUUGGUCUUGAAUUUAGUUGAGGUGGGCGGAAUGUGUCGUGUAGCGGUGAAAUGCUUAGAUAUGACACAGAACACCGAUGGCGAAGGCAGCUUACUAAGGAGUAACUGACGCUGAGGCACGAAAGUGUGGGGAUCAAACAGG